rnacentral:rRNA from 1 species
UACGAAGGGUGCAAACGUUGCUCGGAAUUAUUGGGCGUAAAGCGCACGUAGGCGGCUUAGUAAGUCGGGUGUGAAACCUCCAGGCUCAACCUGGAGACGCCACCCGAUACUGCUGUGGCUAGAGUCCGGUAGGGGAGCGUGGAAUUCCUGGUGUAGCGGUGAAAUGCGCAGAUAUCAGGAGGAACACCAGCGGCGAAGGCGGCGCUCUGGGCCGGAACUGACGCUGAGGAGCGAAAGCGUGGGGAGCAAACAGG